ensembl:lncRNA
GUUUUAUGCUGUUACAAAAAUUUUAUAAUAAUCAUCCUAUUACAUAGAUUUAUGGAUUAAAGGGAAAAUGGCCUGCAGCAUGCACAUAAAUGACAGCCAUAUUUUGGAGAAAUCUGUAACCUGAGAGCUACAUAAUCUACUUAUAAGUUGCUUAUGAGCAACCCUGAAGUGAAAGUCACUGUAUUUUCAGAAGAGGACAUUUACGCUAAUUUUCCUCAAAGAACUAGACUGGAGAUGGUGAUCACAACCUCCAGACUAAGCAGACACCAGGUGGAAUUGCACUUUUGGAAAGCUCAAUCGGUCUCUUGUUAGCAAUAAAUCCUAUGGUGUGGGCCUCCA